rnacentral:rRNA from 1 species
UACGUAGGGUGCAAGCGUUUGUCCGGAAUUAUUGGGCGUAAAGAGCUUGUAGGCGGUUUGUCGCGUCUGCUGUGAAAUUUUCGGGGCUCAACCCCGAACUUGCAGUGGGUACGGGCAGACUAGAGUGUGGUAGGGGAGACUGGAAUUCCUGGUGUAGCGGUGAAAUGCGCAGAUAUCAGGAGGAACACCGAUGGCGAAGGCAGGUCUCUGGGCCACUACUGACGCUGGAGAAGCGGAAAAGCAUGGGGAGCGAACAGG